GAUGAAGAAGCAGCGAAAUGCGAUAAGUAAUGUGAAUUGCAGAAUUCAGUGAAUCAUCGAAUCUUUGAACGCACAUUGCGCCCCCUGGUAUUCCGGGGGGCAUGCCUGUUCGAGCGUCAUUUCACCACUCAAGCCUCGCUUGGUAUUGGGCAACGCGGUCCGCCGCGUGCCUCAAAUCGACCGGCUGGGUCUUCUGUCCCCUAAGCGUUGUGGAAACUAUUCGCUAAAGGGUGUUCGGGAGGCUACGCCGUAAAACAACCCCCUUUCUAAGGUUGACCUCGGAUCAGGUAGGGAUACCCGCUGAACUUAAGCAUAUCAAUAAGCGGAGGA
rnacentral:misc_RNA from 1 species